rfam:Hymenolepis nana genome assembly, scaffold: HNAJ_contig0001014
UCUUCGGCCUUUUUCGAGGCUACAAAGAGUACAAAAUAGAUGCAAU